rnacentral:rRNA from 1 species
UGGGGGAUAUUGCACAAUGGGCGAAAGCCUGAUGCAGCGACGCCGCGUGAGGGAAGACGGUCUUCGGAUUGUAAACCUCUGUCUUUGGGGAAGAAGAUGACGGUACCCAAAGAGGAAGCUCCGGCUAACUACGUGCCAGCAGCCGCGGUAAUACGUAGGGAGCGAGCGUUGUCCGGAAUUACUGGGUGUAAAGGGAGCGUAGGCGGGGAUGCAAGUUGGAUGUUUAAACUAUCGGCUCAACCGGUAAUUGCAACCAAAACUGCAACUCUUGAGUGAAGUAGAGGCAGGCGGAAUUCCUAGUGUAGCGGUGAAAUGCGUAGAUAUUAGGAGGAACACCAGUGGCGAAGGCGGCCUGCUGGGCUUUAACUGACGCUGAGGCUCGAAAGCGUGGGGAGCAAAC